UUUCUAACUGGAAUUCACUUUACCAUUUUAAUUAGGGUUACUAUAUAUUUUACUCUCAUUUGAGUAGCCGCCACCCUCCACUCUCCUCUAUACUCUCUAUCUCUUUCAUCUCUCAAAUACCCACUCUCAAGUCUCACCCCACCUAUUUCUUUAAUCUACAACAAUGGAGGUUAAACUUCAAGGUGUGUUUAUGUCGAAUCAAUUAAACACGGCAUAAAAAUCACCAUAUUUUAGAGUAGAAUCACUUAUUCAUCCUUGUCUUUCUCUCUCUUCGCCGGCUGCAAUGGCGGAUUUCGAUCAAAUGACGGAGUACUAACUCCAGCGAAUCGAGAAUAUCAAGCGCAACUCCGAAGUUAUGGCUUUUCUCAAAAUUAAAUCUCAUGUUGCCGAUCUUUCUGUCACUUUCAAGCAUCUUAGAGUUGUAAAUUCAGGUCUCAAUAUGCCUACUCUUCAAACUCACGGAAUUUGGCAUAGGCGAUUAUGAAGGAGUGGUGUAGGUUGAAGUGGGUUUUGUAAAUUAUUUUAUAAGAUAUUGAUUGUAAUAUUUGUGAGUAUGUUUUAAGUAUGGGUUUUGUAUAAAGUAUAGACUACUUGUACUUUGUUGUAAGUGUAACAAGUAUAGGAAUUGUAUUUUUUUGUUUAA